rnacentral:rRNA from 1 species
GACGAACGCUGGCGGCGUGCUUAACACAUGCCAGUCGAGCGGUAAGGCUCCUUCGGGAGUACACGAGCGGCGAACGGGUGAGUAACACGUGAGUAAUCUGCCCUUCACUUCGGGAUAACCACCGGAAACGGUGGCUAAUACCGAAUACGACCAGUCUUCGCAUGAGGUGCUGGUGGAAAGUCUUUUCGGUGAAGGAUGUGCUCGCGGCCUAUCAGCUUGUUGGUGGGGUAAUGGCCUACCAAGGCUUCGACGGGUAGCCGGCCUGAGAGGGUGACCGGCCACACUGGGACUGAGACACGGCCCAGACUCCUACGGGAGGCAGCAGUGGGGAAUAUUGGACAAUGGGCGAAAGCCUGAUCCAGCAACGCCGCGUGAGGGAUGACGGCCUUCGGGUUGUAAACCUCGCGCAGUACCGACGAAGCGCCCUGUCGGGUGGUGACGGUAGGUACAGAAGAAGGACCGGCCAACUACGUG